AUGCACGCUGGCGGCGUGCCUCAUACAUGCAAGUCGCGCGAACAGACGAGGAGCUUGCUCCUCUGACGUUAGCGGCGGACGGGUGAGUAACACGUGGAUAACCUACCUAUAAGACUGGGAUAACUUCGGGAAACCGGAGCUAAUACCGGAUAAUAUAUUGAACCGCAUGGUUCAAUAGUGAAAGACGGUUUUGCUGUCACUUAUAGAUGGAUCCGCGCCGCAUUAGCUAGUUGGUAAGGUAACGGCUUACCAAGGCAACGAUGCGUAGCCGACCUGAGAGGGUGAUCGGCCACACUGGAACUGAGACACGGUCCAGACUCCUACGGGAGGCAGCAGUAGGGAAUCUUCCGCAAUGGGCGAAAGCUUGACGGAGCAACGCCGCGUGAGUGAUGAAGGUCUUCGGAUCGUAAAACUCUGUUAUUAGGGAAGAACAAAUGUGUAAGUAACUAUGCACGUCUUGACGGUACCUAAUCAGAAAGCCACGGCUAACUACGU
rnacentral:rRNA from 1 species